UACGGAGGAUCCGAGCGUUAUCCGGAUUUAUUGGGUUUAAAGGGUGCGUAGGCGGCCUUGUAAGUCAGGGGUGAAAUCCCUCGGCUUAACCGGGGAACUGCAUCUGAUACUGGAUGGCUUGAGUUCGGGAGAGGGAUGCGGAAUUCCAGGUGUAGCGGUGAAAUGCGUAGAUAUCUGGAGGAACACCGGUGGCGAAGGCGGCAUCCUGGACCGGCACUGACGCUGAGGAGCGAAAGCCAGGGGAGCAAACGGG
rnacentral:rRNA from 1 species